GUUUCAGGGAACUUGAGACACCAUGCUCGUUAUGCGGGCAAGGCAACUCCUCUUACGACCAAAAGUUCUUAUCAAGGCUGGUGAUUGGAAGACCGGGAAAAUGACUCGGAACGCCUUUCCCCUAUCUCGUACACGGAAUUUUCAACUGGGUGUGCGAUGGACUUGGCGGGGCGAUAUUCUUGNUUGAGAUUGAGGGAACUGAAUGUAGAUUGUUGACGGCUUUUGAAUCGUCAAAGAACAACUUUCUUGGUUGGUUUUCGUAUCGACGCGGCGACACGUAUACAAUGGUCGCACGCCUUGAGUUCCACGGCCAUGAACCUGGCCUGCACUGCCACGCGUGUUGCGACGACCUUCACAAUGUCC
rnacentral:misc_RNA from 1 species